UUAUGCUCUUUUAAACAUUUAUAAAUGUGCUGCUUCUUUGUUUUUACAUAGCCAGCCAGAAUGGAGUUCACAGCUGCAGUGUGUCUGGUGACCCACGGGGACCAUGAUGAAAAUUCAUCUUCCAGAAGGUCCCAGAGCAGCGGCCACACCCCCUGAAAAGACCAAGGUGUGAGGUGUCUGCUGUUGAUUCCAGCUUCCACCUCAGUGACAGUGCAAGCUCAGUGAACUGUUCAAGGACACUCAGCAAAAUAUGGACUCUACACCAUGAGGCAGGCACACGUUAAUACUCUAUAAGAGCACAUAAGCAUGAUGAUGUCCUCACACACCUGUAACCUAUCAGCUCAUCUGGCAGAAUAGAGGGAGAAGAGACAACACCACAUCUCCUGUUCCUGGAAAGCCUUCAGCCAUCCUUUGAUGACUGAGAACCUCCAUCAGCUCUGUCUCCUGUCUGCCCACAAUUAUUAUAAUAAAUAUUGUGUUUGACAAGUUUUUUUGUGCUGCCAAAUAUCUCAUAUAGAUUCCAGUUUUGAUAUUUUAAUGGAUAUUUAUAAAUUACAUUAAUUGAAUUAUCACAAUGCAUGUUUAACUUGCUCUAUUGUGAUGAAUUAAACUAGCACCUCACUGUUAAAAGCUCGUUUUAAUUUCAAGCAUGUUUAAGUAUUUAUGGACAUGAACAAAAACAGGAAAUAUAUAAAUUGAGAUUUAUUUAAUUAAUAUAACAAAUAAGGGGGAAAGAGUCAUUGAAAGGCACAUUCUUCUGGAAGUUCCUGAUCCUGACGACACCAGCAGAGGAGACCAGCUGCAGACACCAGAGACCAGCUGCAGACACCAGAGGACCUAGAACCAAGAGAGCAGCUGUUAUCAGUAAAUAAACCAGGGCAGUUUUAGUGAGCUGAACACAUUACAGAAUAAUUUUCUCAUGGGGCAUUUUCAUAACUUUAUGCAGCAGACUGUAACUUGAGCCCAGAGCUACCGGAGAGCUGCUAUCCAGCAUGUUUCAGUGGUUUUCC